UUAUCAAGAUGAGCCUAGGUCGGAUUAGCUUAGUUGGUGAGGUAAUGGCUCACCAAGGCGACGAUCCGUAACUGGUCUGAGAGGAUGAUCAGUCACACUGGAACUUGAGACACGGUCCAGACUCCUACGGGAGGCAGCAGUGGGGAAUAUUGGACAAUGGGCGAAAGCCUGAUCCAAGCCAUGCCGCGUGUGUGAAGAAGGUCUUCGGAUUGUAAAGCACUUUAAGUUGGGAGGAAGGGCAGUUACCUAAUACGUGAUUGUUUUGACGUUACCGACAGAAUAAGCACCGGCUAACUCUGUGCCAGCAGCCGCGGUAAUACAGAGGGUGCAAGCGUUAAUCGGAAUUACUGGGCGUAAAGCGCGCGUAGGUGGUUUGUUAAGUUGGAUGUGAAAUCCCCUGGGCUCAACCUGGGAACUGCAUUCAAAACUGACUGACUAGAGUAUGGUAGAGGGUGGUGGAAUUUCCUGUGUAGCGGUGAAAUGCGUAGAUAUAGGAAGGAACACCAGUGGCGAAGGCGACCACCUGGACUAAU
rnacentral:rRNA from 1 species